AAUUCCAGCAGUGCGGUUAUACAAAUAAUAUAGUUUAAUUUAAUUAGUUAUAAUAAAUUGAUAAAAAGAAUUUAAAACUAAAAUUUAUGAAGUGAAAUUUUAAAUUUUAAUUAAAUUAUUUUUUAAUGAUGAAAUUAAGAAAUUUAAUAAAUAAACUAGGAUUAGAUACCCUAUUAUUUUAAAUGUAAGUUUUUAUACUAAAUUAGUAAUAGUUAAGAUCUUGAAAAUUAAAAAAUUUGGCGGUAUUUUAGUCUAUUCAGAGGAACCUGUUCUAUAAUUGAUAAUCCACGAUUUAAAAUACUUUUUUUAUUAGUUUGUAUAUCAUCGUAAUUUGAAUAUUUUAAAAGGAAAUAUAAUGUUCAAGAUUUUUAUGAAAAAAUAAAUCAGAUCAGGGUGCAGUUUAUAAGAAAGCAGAAAUGGGUUACAAUAAAUUAAUUUAAGAAUUUAUAUUUAUAAAAUAUAAUGAAUUUGGAUUUGAGGGUAAAUUUAAUUAAUUAAUUAAAUUGAUUUAGCU
rnacentral:rRNA from 1 species